rnacentral:rRNA from 1 species
UGGGGAAUAUUGCACAAUGGACGGAAGUUUGAUGCAGCGACGCCGCGUGGAGGGUGUAGGCCUUCGGGUUGUGAACUCCUUUUUCUCGCGAAAAAGGCACAGUUUUGGCUGUGUUGAUGGUAGUGGGGGAAGAAGCGCCGGCUAACUACGUGCCGGCAGCCGCGGUAAUACGUAGGGCGCGAGCGUUGUCCGGAUUUAUUGGGCGUAAAGAGCUCGUAGGUGGUUCGUCGCGUCUGUCGUGAAAGCCAGCAGCUUAACUGUUGGUCUGCGGUGGGUACGGGCGGGCUUGAGUGCGGUAGGGGUGACUGGAAUUCCUGGUGUAGCGGUGGAAUGCGCAGAUAUCAGGAGGAACACCGAUGGCGAAGGCAGGUCACUGGGCCGUUACUGACACUGAGGAGCGAAAGCGUGGGGAGCGAACAGG